GGAGAAAUUCCAAUCGAACCCGGAGAUAGCUGGUUCUCCUCGAAAUAGCUUUAGGGCUAGCCUCGUUUUAGUCUUAUGGAGGUAGAGCACUGAAUUUCCGCGGGGGCGUCAAAGCUUACCAAAGAAUAUCAAACUCCGAAUGCCAUGUAGAUGAUGAACGGGAGUCAGACUGCACGAGAUAAGUUGGGCAGUCAAAAGGGAAAGAGCCCAGACCUACAGCUAAGGUCCCAAAGUGUGUGUUAAGUGGAAAAGGAUGUGGGAUUUCGAAGACAACUAGGAUGUUGGCUCAGAAGCAGCCACACAUUCAAAGAGUGCGUAAUAGCUCACUAGUCGAGAGGUCCUGCGCCGAAAAUGUCCGGGGCUAAAACACACUGCCGAAGCUUUGGAAUUGAGAAUUCAAUUGGUAGAGGAGCAUUCUUAAAGGGACGAAGCAGUACCGUAAGGAGCUGUGGACUUUUAAGAAGAGAGAAUGCCGGAAUGAGUAGCGAGAGGAAGGUGGGAAUCCUUCCGGCCGAAUAUCUAAGGUUUCCAGAGUAAAGCUGAUCUGCUCUGGGUAAGUCGGGGCCUAAGGCGAGGUCAAGAGACGUAGCCGAUGGACAACAGGUUUAGAUUCCUGUACCGCAUAUAAACAGAACUGUGGGGACGCAUGGGGAGAGCAUGGGCCGGGAAUGGAAAUACCGGUGCAAGCGAAGGAGGUGUGCAGCCGGCAAAUCCGCUGCAUGAGCCGAAAGCGUGACGCGGAGCGAAAUGAAAGUAGCGAAGCAUGUGAGCCCUGUGCCGAGAAAAGCCGCUAUAGCUUUAUAUGUGCCCGUACCGUAAACCGACACAGGUGGAUGAGGAGAGAAUCCUAAGGCCGGCGGAAGAAGCAUUGUUAAGGAACUCGGCAAAAUGACCCCGUAACUUCGGGAGAAGGGGUGCCUGCGAGAGCAGGCCGCAGAGAAUAGGCUCAAGCAACUGUUUAGCAAAAACACAGGUCUAUGCGAAACCGAAAGGUGAGGUAUAUGGGCUGACGCCUGCCCGGUGCUGGAAGGUUAAGAGGAGAGGUUAGCGCAAGCGAAGCUUUGAAUUUAAGCCCCAGUAAACGGCGGCCGUAACUAUAACGGUCCUAAGGUAGCGAAAUUCCUUGUCGGGUAAGUUCCGACCCGCACGAAAGGCGUAAUGAUUUGAGCGCUGUCUCGACAAUGCAUCCGGUGAAAUUGAAGUACCAGUGAAGAUGCUGGUUACCCGCGCCAGGACGGAAAGACCCCAUGGAGCUUUACUCCAGUUUGAUACUGGGAUUCGGUACUGCAUGUACAGGAUAGGUGGGAGACGAAGAAGGAUGGACGCCAGUCUGUCCGGAGUCGCUGUUGGGAUACCACCCCUGUAGUACUGGGUUUCUAACCAGUUACCAUGAUCUGGUAAUGGGACAAUGUCAGGCGGGGAGUUUGACUGGGGCGGUCGCCUCCGAAAGGGUAUCGGAGGCGCUCAAAGGUUCCCUCAGAAUGGUUGGAAACCAUUCGAAGAGUGCAAAGGCAGAAGGGAGCUUGACUGCGACACCGACGGGUGGAGCAGGUACGAAAGUAGGACUUAGUGAUCCGGUGGUAUAAAGUGGGAUUGCCAUCGCUCAACGGAUAAAAGCUACCCUGGGGAUAACAGGCUUAUCACUCCCAAGAGUUCACAUCGACGGAGUGGUUUGGCACCUCGAUGUCGGCUCAUCGCAUCCUGGGGCUGUAGUAGGUCCCAAGGGUUGGGCUGUUCGCCCAUUAAAGCGG
rnacentral:rRNA from 1 species